GGUAUAAAAAAUUUUAUAAUAAUUUAAUAUUUAGGUUUUCAGGUUUUAUUAUUCCAUAAUGUUGUCAUAUUUUAUUUUUUGGGAAAAUUUUAAAAAUCCUUCUCAUGGUUUCGUACUUUUUCGUUUUAAUAUCCUAUGAUUUUAUUUUUGUACCAAGUUAGUAGCUUAGGAUUUUUAAACCGCAUGGUACUAAAGUGAGAAGUACGAACCAUAGGGUACUAAAAUGAGAAAGUGCGAAACCACAGGCACUAACUUGAUACACUUUAAACCACAGGGUACUAAAGUAAAAAAGUACAAAAUCACAGCGUAUUAACUUGAUACACUUUAAACCACAGGAUACUAAAGUGAGAAAAAGUGAAACCACAAGGAGGGUAUUUGAAGUGUUCCCCUUUUUUUUUAAAUACUAAUUUUUUGUAAAUUAAAAAAAAAUU
rnacentral:lncRNA from 1 species